CGAAACUAAGUGAGCUACUUUAAAACAGCCCCAGAGCUAACCCAUCUCUGUUGCAAUAGAGUGGGAAGAUUUUUAAGUAGAGGUGAUAAACCUAUCGAACCUAGAGAUAGCUGGUUUUUUAAGAAAAGAUUUUUAGUUCAGCCCUGAGUCUCCCCUUACGCAAAAAUCCAAUUAGACUCAGGAGUUAUUCAAAUAAGGCACAGCUUAUUUGAAAUAGGAUACAACCUAAGAAAAAGGGUAAGUUAGAUAAAACUCUUAAUAAGUGGGCCUAAAAGCAGCCACCUUUUAAAAAGCGUCAAAGCUUAGCAUUAGCAAUUUUCUCAAUGUCUUCAUCAACUUCCAACCCUUACCUACUAUUAAAAAACUCCAUAAUAAUAUGGAAGUUAUUAUGCUAGAACAAGUAACAAGAAAAAGACUUUCUCCAAAAUGCGAGCUUAAGCCAUAAUAGACCAACUAAUGGCAAUUAACGUCCAUAAGCCACUUGUAGGAACACCAACAAGAAAACCCUACAUAAAUUUUACCGUCAAUCUUACACCAGCGCAU
rnacentral:rRNA from 1 species